rnacentral:rRNA from 1 species
UACGGAGGGAGCAAGCGUUACUCGGAAUUAUUGGGCGUAAAGGGCGCGUAGGCGUUCCUGCAAGUCGGUUGUGAAAGCCCCGGGCUUAACCCGGGAAGUGCAGCUGAUACUGCGGGAAUUGAGUUCCGGAGAGGAAGGUGGAAUGCUUGGUGUAGAGGUGAAAUUCGUAGAUAUCAAGCAGAACACCUGCGGCGAAGGCGGCCUUCUGGACGAUGACUGACGCUGAGACGCGAAAGCGUGGGGAGCAAACAGG